rnacentral:piRNA from 1 species
UGUCCUGGCAGGUAAACCUGGUGGGGA